CAAAAUGUGUCGGACAUUUUGAAUCUUUCAUUAUGAUUAAAAAUUAGAGCUUCUUAUUAAUCUUAAAUUAUGUAAUAAAGGUUUAGAAAAAAUAAAAGAAAUUUGUUUUUAUUAUUAUAUUGUGGCUAAUGAAGGAGUUAAAAAGUCCUUCCAGUCAGUUGCAACAACAAUUAAAGCAGCAGGAAACAGCCAAGUACACAUGCAAGUGAUUGUUAUGAGGAUUGCAAAACUUUUAAAUAUCAGAAACUGAAGAAAGCAUUCAUAAUCAGCAGAUAUCAAAAAAGCGCAAAAGUACUGAUUUUACAACUCUUUUAAAGUUGAGGAAGAAUUUUAUGUUAAUGUUAAUGCAAAAGGUACGAAUAUUGACAGGUUAGCUAAUUUGAUGUAACAAUAAACAUGAAAUAAAGUUUGUGAAGACCUUAGUGCCAAAAAUACUUGCAUGCAUUAUUCAUGCAUGCUGUAUUAUAAUAUAGCAUGCAUGCAUGAUGCAUUUAAGUAUAAAAAAAAGUUACAAAUGUUUAAUUAUACAAAAAGAUUAUGGAUGUGGUACUGCAAGUAUAUUCAAUUGAUUAUGCAAGUAAGUUGUCCUACUUUACAUCUUUGAAGACUAAUAAUAAUUGUAAUGAACAUAUCUCAGACAAUAUACACUCGGAUUUAUAUUUUAGUUAAACCAUCACCACUUCCACAGCCACCUUGUCUCAAGCAUUAAAUCGCAUUCUAAGAUAUCUUUAUUCAAAUUAAGUGUGACUACUUUACCAAAAGACUCUAGAAUGGACCAAUCAACUAACCCAUCAGUACUUGCAAAGUCUCUUUUUCUGUAAGCCCAAAAAUUGAGUUCUAAAAUACCAUUAUCCACAUAACUACUUUAUCAAAGUACAAUCUAAUGGAUUGAUCAAAAAAGAGAUUGUAUGACUUCGGUAUCCGCAAUACGGUAUCGUGCAUUGAUUUCCAUCUUAGAAUGGCUCUCUUCCGUAUAGGUGGAAAUAGGAUAGGUUGUGUCCUUUUUUCUAAUUCUUAAGACGAAGAGGCUUAAUCGGUUCAAACAAAGAUGACGAUGAUCAUUAUGGAGCCGAUCAUGAUGACGAAUACGAUAAUGCAUAUAAUAAUAAAUAAAAUGUUUUUACUUGUAUCUUAGACUUAUAUAAAUAAAAAAUUAUUUGUUUAA